AAAUGAGAAACAAAAAAAUUGUAUUUAGUUUCGACCUAAAAUUUUGGAGUAGCCUUCCCUCAUUUG
rnacentral:tRNA from 1 species